UAAAAACAAACUAUUUGAACGAAUAAAUAGUAUUUAGUAGUCAAAUAAAACAUAAUAAUAUUAUAGUCAUGACAGCCAAAUUUAAAACUCAAAUUAUUCAAUUAAAAAAUAAUUUAACUUAAUAAAAUAUAUAAUAUAUAAAAUACAAUAAUUUAGAAGUCUAAAUUAGAACCAUUUAAAGUAUAAUAAUAAUAAUAAUAGAGUUCAACAUCCAAAUUAAAAUGCUAUUUAAGUAAAUAAAAAUAUUAAUUAUAAAAUUCUAUACUGGCUGAAAUUAUAUCCUACACUAAAAGCCCAAAUUAGAGCCCAAUUAGUAUACAACAACCACAUUUUAUGAAACCCUAACUAAUGAUGCGCCACUCUCACUCUCUCUCACCGUCUCUCCCCAUUAACCGCCGCCGCCUCACACACCUAGCCGCCACCGCCGGGCACCUCCUCUUGUCCGUCGGCCCACCGAACAACAAUCUCCAUGUCGCCGCAGUAGUACCUCCAGCUUGCGCCCCUUCAACACACAGCCGUGCCUCAGCCGCCGCCGGGCUCACCGUCGUGCUGAACACCAGCUUCUGGCCGCCUCACCCGCCAGCUCCCUCAUCUCCUAACUCCGGCACUUUUCUCUUUUCCUCUCCUUUUUCUUAUUCUCCAGCGAGAAAGAUCAGAUCUUUGAAUGAAUCUGCCGCCGCCGCCGUACUUCUCUCUCUCCUUCCUCUUCUUUCUCGUCUUCUCAACUUUCCUCCAAUCUUUCUCAUUCCGUAUCCUUCGAAUCCUCUCGGCCAGCUGCUACCUUGCCGCCACCGCCCCGUCUCCCUCAGCCUGCCGCCCUCUUAUCGGAGUUGUCGCCGGAUUCCAAGCACCCUGCUAUGUUGCAAUCAAAAAUCAGAAAAUCAGUCCAAAAAAAUUGUAGAUUCAAUUAAUGUUACGUCUAUAUAAAUGUCCUAAACUUCUUGGAGAAGCUAAUUUUUCUGUAUUUCAUUGGUCAAAUUUGUAUCCAAUAAUAUCUGUCUCUUUUCUGUCCAAUA